GAUGAACGCUGGCGGCGUGCUUAACACAUGCAAGUCGAACGAUGAAGCCCAGCUUGCCGGGUGGAUUAGUGGCGAACGGGUGAGUAACACGUGAGUAACCUGCCCUUAGCUCUGGGAUAAGCCUGGGAAACUGGGUCUAAUACCGGAUAGGAGCGUCCACCGCAUGGUGGGUGUUGGAAAGAUUUAUCGGUUUUGGAUGGACUCGCGGCCUAUCAGCUUGUUGGUGAGGUAAUGGCUCACCAAGGCGACGACGGGUAGCCGGCCUGAGAGGGUGACCGGCCACACUGGGACUGAGACACGGCCCAGACUCCUACGGGAGGCAGCAGUGGGGAAUAUUGCACAAUGGGCGCAAGCCUGAUGCAGCGACGCCGCGUGAGGGAUGACGGCCUUCGGGUUGUAAACCUCUUUCAGUAGGGAAGAAGCGAAAGUGACGGUACCUGCAGAAGAAGCACCGGCUAACUACGUG
rnacentral:rRNA from 1 species